rnacentral:rRNA from 1 species
AACAAAAAAAAUUAUAAUUUUUUUUCUAUUUAAUGCAAAAAAAUGAGUUAAAUAAAAUAAAAUUAUUUUCAUAAAAAAAAAUACCUUUUGUAUAAGGAAAGGUUUAUUUUAUAUAAAGUAUAUUAAUAUUUCUCGAAAAUUAUUUAAAUAAAAUUUAUUUGAUUGUAGAAAUAAAAUGAUUUAUUUAUGUUAUAUUAGUAAUAAUUUAACUAGUUAUUUUUUAAAAAGAUUUGGAAAAGCCAAAAUAUUAAACUUUUUUUUUUGAAAAAUUAAAAAAAAUUUCAAAUUAAUUAUUUUUAUUAUAGAAAAAAAAAUAAUAAUUAAGUUUUUAAAAAUAAAAAAUUUAUAUUUAAUAAAAUAACUUUAUUAGUAGAAAAAAAAAUAAAAAACUUUUUAAAAUAUAUUAUAUUUUUAAAAAACAAUAUUUUUUUAAAUUAAAUUUUUUAAUUUUUAACAAAAUAUCAUUAAUAAAAAAUUUAUUAUAAAUUCUGCUCAAUGAACAAAUUUAAAUAGCCGAUUUAUCGCUAAGGUAGCAUAAUCACUUGUUUUUUAAUUGAAAACUUGAAUGAAAGGAUAAAAAAAAAUUUAAAUUAAAUAUUAAUUUUAAAUUGAAUUUUUAUUAUUAGUGAAAAUACUAAUAUUUUUUUUUAGACGGAAAGACCCUAAGAAUCUUUCUUUUUAAAAAGUUUUUUGGGAGAAAAAUUAAUUUUAAUAUUUAAUUUAUUUAAUGAAAAGAACUUUUUUUAAAGAUUAAAAAAAAAGAUACUCUAGGGUUAACAGGAUAAAAUUUAAUUAAAGAACAAAUUUAUUAAAAUUUUAUUACCUCGAUGUUGGUUUUAUAAACUAAAAAUUGCAGUAGAUUUUUUUAGUUAGUCUGUUCGACUAUAAAAAUAUAACUUGAACUGAGUUCAAAUCGGUGAAAACCAGAUUGGAUCUUAUCUAAAAAUAAUUAAUUUAAAAAAAGUACGAAAGGAAAAUUUUAAAUAUAAACUAU